rnacentral:lncRNA from 1 species
AAAUUAAAACUGUAGUGUGUCUGCUAGAAACUCAUGCAUAUGUGAGUGAGAUGUUAGAAAUGUUAGAUUGAAUGCUCAAGAAUCAAAAUUGAAUUGAGUGUAUUAUUGCUUGCCCGCAAUUGAGACGAGUUGUUCAACUCAUGAAGAAGAAGAGUUUGACAUGGAUUGUUGAGAAAUGACACCGAAAAAUAACAACAAUAAUAAUACUGUAAUAAUAUUAUUUGUGAACGGAAAUACUCCAACUGGCUUGAGUCGUGAUAGGUAUUGUCCUAAGAAAUUAUUUCAGCAAUGUGAAAUAUUUCUCCAGGAUUAAACAAGCAUACUAUAUUAAAGAGGAUAUAGGAAUCAGCAAAAUAUUAAUUUUUAAAUUCAGAAAUUUAAAAAAAAGAAUAAUACCAACUAAUAUUAAAUAUUUGAAAGAGAGAGGAGAGACGUAUGAGAAUG